rnacentral:tRNA from 1 species
GGCGCUGUCGCUUAGCUGGUCAAAGCGCCUGUCUCGUAAACAGGCGAGCCUGGGUUCGAAUCCCAGCAGUGUCU